rnacentral:rRNA from 1 species
ACUCAAAGGAAUUGACGGGGGCCCGCACAAGCGGCGGAGCAUGCGGAUUAAUUCGAUGCGACGCGAAGAACCUUACCUGGGUUUGACAUACACCGGAAUCUGGCAGAGAUGUCAGCGCCUUCGGGCUGGUGUACAGGUGGUGCAUGGCUGUCGUCAGCUCGUGUCGUGAGAUGUUGGGUUAAGUCCCGCAACGAGCGCAACCCUCGUUCCAUGUUGCCAGCGGGUAAUGCCGGGGACUCAUGGGAGACUGCCGGGGUCAACUCGGAGGAAGGUGGGGAUGACGUCAAGUCAUCAUGCCCCUUAUGUCCAGGGCUUCACGCAUGCUACAAUGGCCGGUACAAUGGGCGGCGAUACCGUGAGGUGGAGCGAAUCCCAAAAAGCCGGUCUCAGUUCGGAUCGGGGUCUGCAACUCGGCCCCGUGAAGUCGGAGUCGCUAGUAAUCGCAGAUCAGCAACGCUGCGGUGAAUACGUUCCCGGGCCUUGUACACACCGCCCGU